GAUGUGGUUAAUGAUGCUGAAUCUUUUUUCCCCAUCUUAUCGACCAUGGUGAAAAUUAUCUGAAAAAUAAGCCAACUUUGUCUGAAACCACAUC
ensembl:snoRNA small nucleolar SNORD12/SNORD106